rnacentral:rRNA from 1 species
GACGAACGCUGGUUGCGUGCUUAACGCAUGCAAGUCAAACGGAAAGGCUCCAUCUUGCUGGGGUACACGAGUGGAGAACGGGUGAGUAACACGUGGGUGACCUGCCCUGCACUUCAGGAUAAGCCUGGGAAACUGGGUCUAAUACCGGAUAGGACCGCACCGUGAGGGUGUGGUGGAAAGUUUUUUCGGUGUGGGAUGGGCCCGCGGCCUAUCAGCUUGGUGGUGGGGUAAUGGCCUACCAAGGCGGCGACGGGUAUCCGGCCUGAGAGGGUGGACGGCCACAUUGGGACUGAUACACGGCCCAUACUCCUACGGGAGGCAACAAUGGGGAAUAUUGCACAGUGGGCGGAAGCCUGAUGCGGCAACACCGCGUGGGGGAUGACGGCCUACGAGUUGUAAACUCCUUUCAGCAUCGACGAAGGGUUUCUGACGGUACAUGGAGAAGAAGCACCGGCUAACUACGUGCCAGCAGCCGCGAUAAUACAUAUGGUGCGAGCGUUGUCCGGAAUUACUGGGCGUAAAGAGCUCGUAGGUGGUUUGUCGCGUCGUCUGUGAAAUUCCGGGGCUUAACUCCGGGCGUGCAGCCGAUACGGGCAUAUCUUGAGUACUGUAGGGGAGACUGGAAUUCCUGGUGUAGCGGUGAAAUGCGCAGAUAUCAGGAGGAACACCGGUGGCGAAGGCGGGUCUCUGGGCAGUAACUGACGCUGAGGAGCGAAAGCGUGGGGAGCGAACAGGAUUAGAUACCCUGGUAGUCCAUCGCCGUAAACGGUGGGCGCUAGGUGUGGGUUUCCUUCCACGGGAUCCGUGCCGUAGCUAACGCAUUAAGCGCCCCGCCUGGGGAGUACGGCCGCAAGGCUAAAACUCAAAGGAAUUGACGGGGGCCCGCACAAGCGGCGGAGCAUGUGGAUUAAUUCGAUGCAACGCGAAGAACCUUACCUGGGCUUGACAUAUACAGGAUCGCGCCAGAGAUGGUGUUCCCCUUGUGGCUUGUAUACAGGUGGUGCAUGGUUGUCGUCAGCUCGUGUCGUGAGAUGUUGGGUUAAGUCCCGCAACGAGCGCAACCCUUGUCUUAUGUUGCCAGCACGUUGUGGUGGGGACUCGUAAGAAACUGCCGGGGUUAACUCGGAGGAAGGUGGGGAUGACGUCAAAUCAUCAUGCCCCUUAUGUCCAGGGCUUCACACAUGCUACAAUGGUCGGUACAGUGGGUUGCCAGUCCGUGAGGGCGAGCUAAUCCCGCAAAGCCGGUCUCAGUUCGGAUCGGGGUCUGCAACUUGACCCCGUGAAGUCGGAGUCGUUAGUAAUCGCAGAUCAGCAACGAUGCGGUGAAUACGUUCCCGGCCCU